CUAUCAGCUUGUUGGUGGGGUAACGGCCUACCAAGGCGAUUACGGGUAGCCGGCCUGAGAGGGCGACCGGCCACACUGGGACUGAGACACGGCCCAGACUCCUGCGGGAGGCAGCAGUGGGGAAUAUUGCGCAAUGGGCGAAAGCCUGACGCAGCGACGCCGCGUGGGGGAUGACGGCCUUCGGGUUGUAAACCUCUUUUACCACCAACGCAGGCUCCCGGUUCUCCGGGGGUUGACGGUAGGUGGGGAAUAAGGACCGGCUAACUACGUGCCAGCAGCCGCGGUAAUACGUAGGGUCCGAGCGUUGUCCGGAAUUAUUGGGCGUAAAGAGCUCGUAGGUGGCUUGUCACGUCGGGUGUGAAAGCUUGGGGCUUAACUCCAGGUCUGCAUUCGAUACGGGCUGGCUAGAGGUAGGUAGGGGAGAACGGAAUUCCUGGUGUAGCGGUGGAAUGCGCAGAUAUCAGGAGGAACACCGGUGGCGAAGGCGGUUCUCUGGGCCUUACCUGACGCUGAGGAGCGAAAGCGUGGGGAGCGAACAGGAUUAGAUACCCUGGUAGUCCAUGCUGUAAACGGUGGGCGCUAGGUGUGGGGACCUUCCACGGUUUCCGCGCCGUAGCUAACGCAUUAAGCGCCCCGCCUGGGGAGUACGG
rnacentral:rRNA from 1 species